GGGGAAUCUUCCGCAAUGGGCGAAAGCCUGACGGAGCAACGCCGCGUGAGUGAAGACGGCCUUCGGGUUGUAAAGCUCUGUUAUACGGGACGAAUAGUCUUGUGGUUAAUACCCAUAAGAAGUGACGGUACCGUAAGAGAAAGCCACGGCUAACUACGUGCCAGCAGCCGCGGUAAUACGUAGGUGGCAAGCGUUGUCCGGAAUUAUUGGGCGUAAAGGGCGCGCAGGCGACUUCUUAAGUCUGUCUUAAAAGUGCGGGGCUUAACCCCGUGAUGGGAUGGAAACUGGGAAGCUCAGAGUAUCGGAGAGGAAAGCGGAAUUCCUAGUGUAGCGGUGAAAUGCGUAGAUAUUAGGAGGAACACCAGUGGCGAAAGCGGCUUUCUGGACGAAAACUGACGCUGAGGCGCGAAAGCCAGGGGAGCGAACGGGAUUAGAUACCCCGGUAGUCCUGGCCGUAAACGAUGGGUACUAGGUGUAGGAGGUAUCGACCCCUUCUGUGCCGGAGUUAACGCAAUAAGUACCCCGCCUGGGGAGUACGGCCGCAAGGUUG
rnacentral:rRNA from 1 species